UGAGUAACACGUAUCCAACCUGCCGUCUACUCUUGGACAGCCUUCUGAAAGGAAGAUUAAUACAAGAUGGCAUCAUGAGUCCGCAUGUUCACAUGAUUAAAGGUAUUCCGGUAGACGAUGGGGAUGCGUUCCAUUAGAUAGUAGGCGGGGUAACGGCCCACCUAGUCUCCGAUGGAUAGGGGUUCUGAGAGGAAGGUCCCCCACAUUGGAACUGAGACACGGUCCAA
rnacentral:rRNA from 1 species